CGGUUGACCUCGGAUCA
rnacentral:rRNA from 1 species